rnacentral:rRNA from 1 species
UAGGGAAUUUUCGUCAAUGGGGGGAACCCUGAACGAGCAAUGCCGCGUGAGUGAAGACGGCUUUCGGACUGUAAAGCUCUGUUGUAAGAGAAAAACGGCCGACAUAGGGAAUGAUGUCGGAGUGAUGGUAUCUUACCAGAAAGUCACGGCUAACUACGUG